GACGAUCAGGAAGCUGGUUUCAUUUGGGGCUUUGUGGAUAACCUGGCACUUGUGCUCUGAAAUGUUCCCACAGGCAGGUGGUCGGCAGGGGAGAUGUCUGAGUUAAGCUAUCACCUGCACCAGAGUCCAGCAGCAUCUGGUCUGAAGCGAGUUCAUGUUGUGAAAAUGAGGCCAGAGGUGCAAAAGAAAUGAAGUUAUUCAAUAUGUGGCCUUCCAAAUGGAUGGAUCUAGAGGAUAUCACCCUGAGUGAGGUAACCCAAUCACAA
rnacentral:lncRNA from 1 species